rnacentral:rRNA from 1 species
GCUGGCGGCGUGCCUAAUACAUGCAAGUCGAACGAAACUUCUUUAUCACCGAGUGCUUGCACUCACCGAUAAAGAGUUGAGUGGCGAACGGGUGAGUAACACGUGGGCAACCUGCCCAAAAGAGGGGGAUAACACUUGGAAACAGGUGCUAAUACCGCAUAACCAUAGUUACCGCAUGGUAACUAUGUAAAAGGUGGCUAUGCUACCGCUUUUGGAUGGGCCCGCGGCGCAUUAGCUAGUUGGUGGGGUAAAGGCUUACCAAGGCAAUGAUGCGUAGCCGAACUGAGAGGUUGAUCGGCCACAUUGGGACUGAGACACGGCCCAAACUCCUACGGGGGGCAGCAGUAGGGAAUCUUCCACAAUGGGCGAAAGCCUGAUGGAGCAACGCCGCGUGGGUGAAGAAGGUCUUCGGAUCGUAAAAACCUGUUGUUAGAGAAGAAAGUGCGUGAGAGUAACUGUUCACGUUUCGACGGUAUCUAACCAGAAAGCCACGGCUAACUACGUGCCAGCAGCCGCGGUAAUACGUAGGUGGCAAGCGUUAUCCGGAUUUAUUGGGCGUAAAGGGAACGCAGGCGGUCUUUUAAGUCUGAUGUGAAAGCCUUCGGCUUAACCGGAGUAGUGCAUUGGAAACUGGGAGACUUGAGUGCAGAAGAGGAGAGUGGACUCCAUGUGUAGCGGUGAAAUGCGUAGAUAUAUGGAAGACACCAGUGGCGA